GUCUUGACAUCCUCUGACACUCCUAGAGAUAGGACGUUCCCCUUCGGGGGACAGAGUGACAGGUGGUGCAUGGUUGUCGUCAGCUCGUGUCGUGAGAUGUUGGGUUAAGUCCCGCAACGAGCGCAACCCUUGAUCUUAGUUGCCAGCAUUCAGUUGGGCACUCUAAGGUGACUGCCGGUGACAAACCGGAGGAAGGUGGGGAUGACGUCAAAUCAUCAUGCCCCUUAUGACCUGGGCUACACACGUGCUACAAUGGAUGGUACAAAGGGCUGCAAGACCGCGAGGUUUAGCCAAUCCCAUAAAACCAUUCUCAGUUCGGAUUGCAGGCUGCAACUCGCCUGC
rnacentral:rRNA from 2 species